GGGGUUGUGGCUCAGAGGUAGAGCACUUGCCUACCAUGCAUGAGACACUGAGUUUGAUCCUCAGCACCACA
rnacentral:tRNA from 1 species